CACACAGCAACAUCGAGUUCAGCAACAAAGAACAAUAGUAGAAAACCAGUAAUGACCAGUAGAAUAACCCAGUGACAAAUUUGGAAACAAAACAGAAAAUCUCAACGGAAAUAGCAUCCAACACUAGUUUUUAAAAAUCCACAAAAUUAUAGCAGAACCAGUAGAGAAGUAGCCAAUGACCCAGUAGAAAACUCAGAAACAAACACUUGAAGAUUCCAAGGAUACAAGGGAAUAAUAAGCUUCAGAUUUUUUUUCAGGUUUUAACUCUCUUUUGACUCUCAAUUUCUCUUGGCCGAUUGUUCUUCUUCUAAGUUUCAAAUGACCCUUCCUUUUAUCUAAAACAAGACCUACUUUCAUCAUUAUUCC
rnacentral:lncRNA from 1 species